rnacentral:rRNA from 1 species
UACGUAGGGUGCAAGCGUUAAUCGGAAUUACUGGGCGUAAAGAGCCCGCAGGCGGCUUGGCAAGUUUGAGGUGAAAUCUCCCGGCUUAACUGGGAGGGGGCCUCGAAAACUGCCAGGCUUGAGGCAUGGAGAGGGAUGCGGAAUUCCCGGUGUAGUGGUGAAAUGCGUAGAUAUCGGGAGGAACACCAAUGGCGAAGGCAGCUCGCUGGGACGGUACUGACGCUGAGACGCGAAAGCGUGGGGAGCAAACAGG